rnacentral:hammerhead_ribozyme from 1 species
AUCCAGCUGAAGAGUCCCAAAUAGGACGAAAUGCUCUUUCGGAU